rnacentral:ribozyme from 14 species
AGCAGGCAGAAAGGAUGGAAAUUGAUAGCAUACAGAUACUACACUUUCAUUUGUUGUGUUUUUGCCCAAUUUAUUCUCUUCUUUUUUUCUCCUUCUUUUUGUCAUACAACAGCUAGAAGAUGUAACCACAACAAAGAAAAAAGGAGAAGAAGUAGGAAAUGACAACAAC